GGAGUUAGCCGGUGCUUCUUCUGUGAGUGAUGUCCUUCCUGCCGGCUAUUAACCCGCAGGCCUUCUUCCUCACUGAAAGUGCUUUACAACCCGAAGGCCUUCUUCACACACGCGGCAUGGCUGGAUCAGGGUUGCCCCCAUUGUCCAAUAUUCCCCACUGCUGCCUCCCGUAGGAGUCUGGGCCGUGUCUCAGUCCCAGUGUGGCUGAUCAUCCUCUCAGACCAGCUACGUAUCGUCGCCUUGGUGAGCCGUUACCUCACCAACCAGCUAAUCCGACAUAGGCUCAUCCGAUAGCGCGAGGCCCGAAGGUCCCCCGCUUUCCCCCGUAGGGCGUAUGCGGUAUUAGCCUGGGUUUCCCCAGGUUAUCCCCCACUACCGGGCAGAUUCCUAUGCAUUACUCACCCGUCCGCCGCUCGCCACCAGGGAGCAAGCUCCCCGUGCUGCCGCUCGACUUGCAUGUGUUAGGCCUGCCGCCAGCGUUCAAUCUGAGCCAUGAUCAAACUCUGA
rnacentral:rRNA from 1 species